GCCAGUUCCAUAAGUAUUUAUGUUUCAGAAAGUCUCGCGUUAGAAUUCUGUUGUGUUCGGUUAAUGAAUAUGAGUUUUGAUAACGUGGGGUCGAGUCCUGAUUAUUAUAUGUUGCGAUUAGUGUUACUAUGGUUAUUGCGAACGUGACUUG